rnacentral:rRNA from 1 species
UGAACCGCAUGGUUCAGACAUAAAAGGUGGCUUCGGCUACCACUUACAGAUGGACCCGCGGCGCAUUAGCUAGUUGGUGAGGUAACGGCUCACCAAGGCGACGAUGCGUAGCCGACCUGAGAGGGUGAUCGGCCACACUGGGACUGAGACACGGCCCAGACUCCUACGGGAGGCAGCAGUAGGGAAUCUUCCGCAAUGGACGAAAGUCUGACGGAGCAACGCCGCGUGAGUGAUGAAGGUUUUCGGAUCGUAAAGCUCUGUUGUUAGGGAAGAACAAGUGCCGUUCAAAUAGGGCGGCACCUUGACGGUACCUAACCAGAAAGCCACGGCUAACUACGUGCCAGCAGCCGCGGUAAUACGUAGGUGGCAAGCGUUGUCCGGAAUUAUUGGGCGUAAAGGGCUCGCAGGCGGUUUCUUAAGUCUGAUGUGAAAGCCCCCGGCUCAACCGGGGAGGGUCAUUGGAAACUGGGGAACUUGAGUGCAGAAGAGGAGAGUGGAAUUCCACGUGUAGCGGUGAAAUGCGUAGAGAUGUGGAGGAACACCAGUGGCGAAGGCGACUCUCUGGUCUGUAACUGACGCUGAGGAGCGAAAGCGUGGGGAGCGAACAGGAUUAGAUACCCUGGUAGUCCACGCCGU